CGGACUGUCGCCCCUGAGAACG
rnacentral:miRNA from 1 species